rnacentral:rRNA from 1 species
CGGCAGCACGGGGAGCUUGCUCCCUGGUGGCGAGUGGCGAACGGGUGAGUAACACGUAGGAAUUUGCCCAGAAGUGGGGGACAACCACGCGAAAGCGUGGCUAAUACCGCAUAACUUCCACGGAACAAAGAGGGCCUCUAUUUAUAAGCUCUCGCUUCUGGAUGAGCCUGCGGCGGAUUAGCUUGUUGGUGGGGUAAAGGCCUACCAAGGCAACGAUCCGUAGCUGGUCUGAGAGGACGAUCAGCCACACUGGGACUGAGACACGGCCCAGACUCCUACGGGAGGCAGCAGUGGGGAAUAUUGGACAAUGGGCGCAAGCCUGAUCCAGCAAUGCCGCGUGUGUGAAGAAGGCCUGAGGGUUGUAAAGCACUUUCAGUAGGGAAGAAAGACCCAAGAUUAAUACUCUUGGGAGUUGACAUUACCUACAGAAGAAGCACCGGCUAACUCUGUGCCAGCAGCCGCGGUAAUACAGAGGGUGCAAGCGUUAAUCGNAGUUACUGGGCGUAAAGCGUGCGUAGGCUGAUUCUUAAGUCGGAUGUGAAAUCCCCGGGCUUAACCUGGGAACUGCAUUCGAUACUGGGUAUCUAGAGUAUGGUAGAGGGAAGUGGAAUUUCCGGUGUAGCGGUGAAAUGCGUAGAUAUCGGAAAGAACAUCAAUGGCGAAGGCAGCUUCCUGGACCAAUACUGACGCUAAGGUACGAAAGCGUGGGGAGCAAACAGGAUUAGAGACCCUGGUAGUCCACGCCGUAAACGAUGAGAACUAGGCGUUAAGCCCUUUAUGGGAGUAGUGCCGAAGCUAACGCGUUAAGUUCUCCGCCUGGGGAGUACGAUCGCAAGAUUAAAACUCAAAGGAAUUGACGGGGACCCGCACAAGCGGUGGAGCAUGUGGUUUAAUUCGAUG